rnacentral:rRNA from 1 species
GAUGGAGAUAACCCCUGGGAAACUGGGACUAAUAUCCAAUAAAUGAUUAUGCCUGGAAUGGUUUAUCAUUGAAAGGGCUGAAUACAUGCUUUCAGUAUCACCUGAGGAUGGGACUGCGUCCGAUCAGGUUGUUGGCGGGGUAACGGCCCACCAAGCCUAUAACCGGUACGGGCCCUGAGAGGGGGAGCCCGGAGAUGGAAACUGAGACAAGGUUCCAGGCCCUGCGGGGCGCAGCAGGCGCGAAACCUCCACAAUGCGCGAAAGCGUGAUGGGGUUAGCCCGAGUGCUGUCCGAAAAGGAUGGCUUUUCCUUGGCGUAAAAACCCAGGGGAAUAAAGGGGGGGCAAGACUGGUGUCAGCCGCCGCGGUAAUACCAGCCCCCUGAGUGGUAAGGACGAUUAUUUGGCUUAAAGCGUCCGUAGCCGGCUUAGUGAGUCUCUUGUUAAAUCCAAUGAUUCAAUCAUUGAACUGCAAGAGAUACUACUAUGCUAGAGGACGGGAGAGGUCGACGGUAGUCCAAGGGUAGGGGUGAAAUCCUAUAAUCCUUGGAGGACCACCAGUGGCGAAGGCGGUCGACUAGAACGUGCCUGACGGUGAGGGACGAAAGCUGGGGGAGCGAACCGGAUUAGAUACCCGGGUAGUCCCAGCUGUAAACGAUGCGGGCUAGGUGUAGGGGCAGCUACGAGCUGCUCCUG